rnacentral:rRNA from 1 species
AUUGAACGCUGGCGGCAUGCCUUACACAUGCAAGUCGAACGGCAGCACGGGUGCUUGCACCUGGUGGCGAGUGGCGAACGGGUGAGUAAUACAUCGGAACAUGUCCUGUAGCGGGGGAUAGCCCGGCGAAAGCCGGAUUAAUACCGCAUACGAUCUACGGAUGAAAGCGGGGGACCUUCGGGCCUCGCGCUAUAGGGUUGGCCGAUGGCUGAUUAGCUAGUUGGUGGGGUAAAGGCCUACCAAGGCGACGAUCAGUAGCUGGUCUGAGAGGACGACCAGCCACACUGGGACUGAGACACGGCCCAGACUCCUACGGGAGGCAGCAGUGGGGAAUUUUGGACAAUGGGCGAAAGCCUGAUCCAGCAAUGCCGCGUGUGUGAAGAAGGCCUUCGGGCUGUAAAGCACUUUUGUCCGGAAAGAAAUCCUUGGCCCUAAUACGGUCGGGGGAUGACGGUACCGGAAGAAUAAGCACCGGCUAACUACGU